GAUGAACGCUAGCGGCAGGCUUAACACAUGCAAGUCGAGGGGCAGCACGAGUAGCAAUACUUGGUGGCGACCGGCGCAAGGGUGCGUAACGCGUGAGCAACAUGCCCGUAUCAGGGGGAUAAUCCAGGGAAACUUGGUCUAAUACCCCAUAGUAAUUUCGUAAGGCAUCUUAUGGGAUUUAAAGCUUUGGUGGAUACGGAUUGGCUCGCGUGACAUUAGCUGGAUGGUAAGGUAACGGCUUACCAUGGCUAUGAUGUCUAGGGGUUCUGAGAGGAAGGUCCCCCACACUGGAACUGAGACACGGUCCAGACUCCUACGGGAGGCAGCAGUGAGGAAUAUUGGACAAUGGAUGGAAAUCUGAUCCAGCCAUGCCGCGUGAAGGAAGAAUGUCCUAUGGAUUGUAAACUUCUUUUGUAUGGGAGCAAUAAGGUCUUCGUGAAGACUGAUGAGAGUACCAUACGAAUAAGCAUCGGCUAACUCCGUG
rnacentral:rRNA from 1 species